UGGUUUGAUUAUGGCUCAGGAUGAACGCUGGCGGCAUGCCUAAUACAUGCAAGUCGAACGGAGUGAAGCCUUCGGGUUUCAUUCAGUGGCGAACGGGUGAGUAAUACGCAGGGAACCUGGCCAUGGCAGGGGGAUACACUCUGGAAACGGAGCAUAAGACCCCAUAGGCAGUAAGGCGGCAUCGCCUUACUGUUAAAGAAAGCUGAAAGGCUUUGGCGAUGGAUGGACCUGCGGUGCAUUAGCUUGUUGGUGAGGCAACGGCUUACCAAGGCGAUGAUGCAUAGCCGGCCUGAGAGGGCGGACGGCCACACUGGGACUGAGACACGGCCCAGACUCCUGCGGGAGGCAGCAGUAGGGAAUUUUCGUCAAUGGGCGCAAGCCUGAACGAGCAAUGCCGCGUGAGUGAGGAAGGUCUUCGGACUGUAAAGCUCUGUUGCCGGGGAAAAAGGGGAAAUGCAGGAAAUGGCAUUUCAUGGAUGGUACCCGGCCAGAAAGCCACGGCUAACUACGUGCCAGCAGCCGCGGUAAUACGUAGGUGGCGAGCGUUAUCCGGAAUGAUUGGGCGUAAAGGGUGCGCAGGCGGUCUGCUAAGUCUGAAGGCAAAGGGAUGAGCUCAACUCAUUUAUGAUUCAGAAACUGGCAGACUUGAGGACAGGAGAGGGCGGUGGAACUCCAUGUGUAGCGGUAAAAUGCGCAGAGAUAUGGAAGAACACCAGUGGCGAAGGCGGCCGCCUGGCCUGUGACUGACGCUGAGGCACGAAAGCGUAGGGAGCAAAUAGGAUUAGAUACCCUAGUAGUCCACGCCGUAAACGAUGAGGAGCAGGUGUUGGGAGUGAAAUCUCAGUGCCGAAGCCAACGCAGUGACUCCUCCGCCUGGGGAGUAUGCACGCAAGUGUGAAACUCAAAGGAAUUGACGGGGGCCCGCACAAGCGGUGGAGUAUGUGGUUUAAUUCGAAGCAACGCGAAGAACCUUACCAGGUUUUGACAUCGGAUGCGAAGGCGCAGAGAUGCGCUGGAGGCUAUCAUCCAGACAGGUGGUGCAUGGUUGUCGUCAGCUCGUGUCGUGAGAUGUUCAGUUAAGUCUGGCAACGAGCGCAACCCCCGUGGUAUGUUACUAACGCAUUUGGGCGAGGACUCAUAUCAGACUGCCGGUGACAAACCGGAGGAAGGCGGGGAUGACGUCAAAUCAUCAUGCCCCUUAUGACCUGGGCUACACACGUACUACAAUGGCGUCUACAGAGGGAAGCGACCCUGAGAAGGGAAGCGAAACCGGAAAAGGGCGUCCCAGUUCGGAUUGAAGUCUGCAACCCGACUUCAUGAAGAUGGAAUCGCUAGUAAUCGCGGAUCAGCAUGCCGCGGUGAAUACGUUCCCGGGCCUUGUACACACCGCCCGUCAAACCAUGGAAGCCGGCAACGCCCGAAGCCGGUGGCAUAACCUUUUAGGAGUGAGCCGUCGAAGGCGGGGCCGAUGACUGGGGUUAAGUCGUAACAAGGUGACC
rnacentral:rRNA from 1 species